AGGGUUCGAUUCUGGCUCAGGAUGAACGCUAGCUACAGGCUUAACACAUGCAAGUCGAGGGGCAGCAUGAAGUCAGCUUGCUGACUUUGAUGGCGACCGGCGCACGGGUGAGUAACGCGUAUCCAACCUUCCCUUUACUCGGGGAUAGCCUUUCGAAAGAAAGAUUAAUACCCGAUGCAUUUGCCUUUUUGCAUGAAUAGGUAAAGAAAGAUUCAUCGGUAAAGGAUGGGGGUGCGUUCCAUUAGAUAGUAGGCGGGGUAACGGCCCACCUAGUCGACGAUGGAUAGGGGUUCUGAGAGGAAGGUCCCCCACAUUGGAACUGAGACACGGUCCAA
rnacentral:rRNA from 1 species